GAGUAGAAAAUCAAGCUGUGCGAUAUUAGGAAGAUCGCUAACUAAAUUACGGAUAUCGUGGUCCAGCAUAGAAUUAAUCCUUCGUAGCAUGGUUCAUGAAGCAAGCGUAAAAGAUACCAUGAAUCGGUAAACACUAAAAUUUUCUUACCCAAAUUUGCUAAUUUCUCAAUGGAAAGUGACAGUUUUUGUUGUUAAUGCAUUAAUAACAGUCGUAGUCGGGCUUGCAAAAAAAACACACGAUAAAAAAUUUUAAUGGCAGAAAUAUAUUGAAGUCCAAAGUAGCCACCACUAGCAAGCAACUCCCUAGUGUCUUAUCUCCGGAUCUGCAUCAAUCCAAAUCACAAUCAGAGAUAAAUAUCAAGCUGAAUAGAUAACAUCAAUAUUUUUAGAAUUCGAAGGACAGGCAACCUCAAGCAUUUGUGUUAUUUUCGACGGUGUGAUAUUCAAAUUAGUAAUCGGCAUCAUCGUCAAAAACAAUUUAAUUUAAGCCAUAAUUUAUAAUUUUAUAAUUUUAUUUAUUUAAUAAUUUUAAAGAUUAAAAGUUAAAUUAUUAGGAAAAAUUAUAAAAUUGGAAGUAUUUACCGAAUGAGAUGAGGUUUG
rnacentral:lncRNA from 1 species